CCUAGAUAUAGGUUUGAAUUUUCUAUACAUAGAUCUCCUUGAUUUUAGUAGAAUGAACUUAAUUGUUAAGCAUUGCUAAAUUUAGGAUAAUUAUUUUUCUCAGGCUGCUCUCUCCUAUCCAUGGGUGCUAGAGCACAGCGAUCACGGCUCUGAAGUUGGCAGUUGUAUUUUUUUUUUUUUAACUUCAGAACAGUCCUCUCCAUGGAAGAAAUUGUCUGGAUCUUUCUGUGCCCACCACUCCCUGCUCCUGUAUCUUGGGAGAGUAUUCAUUAAUGAGGAAUGUCUCAGAGAAGGCAG
rnacentral:lncRNA from 1 species